rnacentral:lncRNA from 1 species
GAUAAGUCGAUAAUUGUUCAGAAAUUUCUAGGCUCGAUUGUCUUUCUUUGCAUGGGUCCGUUGUACCAAUUCAGGUCGUAUUCAAGAAAAAUCAACCCAACAAGUAUAUAUACUUGCACGUAAACGAAUGCGGUCAUAACCCGAAACCAAAAGCGGUCAAACUCACUUCAGUUUUUGUUUGAGUUUAGAUAGUUCAAAAAAGACCAAUCGGGACUCAAGUGAUUGGUCCGAUUAUAAACCCGAAAUAUCCAUCCGCUAAAAAGGACUUGUCAGUGAUUGGUUAUUUCAGCUUCAAUAGCAAAACCAAGCCUAACCAAAUAAACAGGUUCAAGAACCUUCUUGCUCUAAACAAGAAUCACUGUCUGAAACUUGUUUACUUGGACAGGUUCUUACAUUAUGUCCCAUUUUCUUGCAGAACCCACAAGCAUACGUUAUUUUACCAACACCAUCUUCCCCGGAAUUUUCACCACUGCAACUAGGAUUCACUCCGGUCGGCUUCCGGCAUGUUCUGCUGUUGUGACCUCUCUCACCGCAUAUUCCACAUUUGUGAUACCUAGUGGAAAUGCCUUUAGUGACUAUUGAUUUCGACUUAGGACAAGUUCUACGGUUGUGGCCUUUCCCGCCGCAACCCCGACAUCUAAAUUUUCUGUCCGCAUUAGUGCCUAGUUCUGGACAGUAAUGGCGUCUAUGGCCUUCCUGUCCACAGUUCUUGCAGUAAAACUUAGUUCCUGAAUCAAUGAGAGAAAAAUGGUUCUUUUACCAUUUCAUAGCUUGCACAUGGAACUGUCACCACAAAAGGAAAUCAAAUCGAAACCUACAUUUCUACACUUCGAAUCAACAUUAUAUCUCAACUUUAAGUGACAAGCCUCAACCUAAUUCAUCACAGUGAUCUCACAUUAUUGGAGAAUGUAAACAGAUAAAGCUCAAGAAACAAAAGAGUACUACAUGGACCUAAACUCUGAAAUUCUACCAAGAAACUGAGACUUACCUUUCAUAGAUAGGCUUCUCUGUUCACGGUUUACAGGGUUACUGAAGAAAGCUUUCAUAGAUUCGGAUGCAUGCUUUCUAGCAGCUGGUGUUCCUUUAGCUUU